CUGAUGCACACACUCUGCCUGAUGCAACAGGCAGAGUGUGUGCUUGUUGCUACAAGUCUGAUGGUUCCUGAUCUGCACAGCGAUCACAUUCUUCUUAGUCAGGGUCCUGGAAGAACGGCGUGCGGUGGAUUAGCAGCCGCGCAUCCGAGGGUCAUGCCGCUGUGAUUAUCUCUGGGUUUGCUGGCCUACUUUCAAUAAAAAGACAAGGCUUCACAUGGUUUUCUUCCAGGCAGGACAGCGACGGAGACGGGGCGUGUUUGAACAAGACUGCUGCAGCCAGUCUUAUCAGUCAAGCAGGCCUCUUUUUUUUUCUUUUUUUUUUUUGCACAACAAGAAGUGGCAUUGAGGAGCCAAACAGCAGGAAAAUUUCCUCAGAAGGCUGGUUUUUACAAGAGCUGGGCGACGGCAAAACGACUCCGUCCAGAAUUCAGAUGAAAACACGUCAGAGGAGCAGAGAGAAAUGUCUGUGGGAAGAUGAGCAGCUCACACAGCGACAGCUACAUCAGGCUAAAUAAAUGAGAUGAUCAUGGGGAAGUUCAUUUACUUCAAUAAUUUCAUUUUACAAAGUUACGCUCAAGCUAAAAAGAUCCUUUACCAAAAGGGUGAGGCGUUUCAUUCCGUUAACUGGGAUCAACAUGGCUGUUGGCAAAAUAAAAGACAAAAUUACAUAAGAGCAAUCAAGAUGGUUUUUGACAGUGAACUGUUACGUUAUGGCUGUUUUAACUAGUGCUGUCAAUCUAUUGGAAAAUGUAAUUGUGAUUAAUCACUAUGCCUAACUUCAUGAGCUCAAAAUAGAAACAUGCAUUCAGUUGUAGGAAUGGGCAAGCCCCGCCUUGUGCUCACUACAACCAAUUAAAAUGCAAGAAAUUAUCAGCGGGUUUUUUCUGAGAUAAUUUCAACCGCUAAGGGAAAUUUACUUCACUAUACAUUAAUACACAUAGUAGCAAACUUGUUCCUGAACAGACAUUAAAUUUUUUAGUUCUUGGAUGCCCCGCCCCUUUUUGAUGCCACCCUGGACAACUACCCAUAACCUGCCCUGAUUUCAAAAAAUCUUUCAUUGUCUCAAACCAAACGUGUCUGAAGAUUCUCAGGUUUCCAUGUUUUUAUAUUCAGGAAUGUUUACAGAAAAUCAUUUUGUAGCUCGUCCUCAUUCAGCUGAGCAGAGAAUCGUGCAGGUGAAACUUUGAGCUCAUUGAUGUGAACACGCAGGCUGGCGAGGCAACACAAGAGUUGAAAAAUAUUCAACUUAAAUAGUUGUCUGAAGAAUAAUUGCUUCUUUUCUGUUUUGUUUUUUUUGAUCAACCUUGUAUUGAUUUUGAAGAGAGGGAAGAGGAUAUUGUUUCUGCUGUUUGUAAUGUUUGUGCUAUUGAGUGCAAUUUUGUGCACUCAAAAUUUUUACUCAUAGUUAUUGUAACCCAAUAAGCUGCAUGCGUGUGUGUGUGUGUGUGUGUGUGUGUGAUGGUAAAAUUGCAGACCAAGAGAUGCAACAUCAUCCAACAUCAUCAUUUUGACAGACAGCACUAUACUGCCAAUAUUAUGGAUGAAGCACCACCUGACAUCAUGCAAGCCCACAGCAUGAUUACUAUUAAGCCUUUUCAGAAGACUGCAGAUAAAGCUGAAGACAUUUGAUCAAACUUUGCUUUGUCACAGACUGCCGGUUGCAAAUAGCAACCGGCAAUCCAAAGUUUUGGAUUUUUUUGCUUGUUUUCUGUUAGAUAUCGGCACAGCACUGGUUCAUCGCUUGAGUUAAAACCUUUCCAUGCCAGAAUAAUUGGUUGAUUUAGUUGAGUUGAGUGAUCUAAGAAACCUAUCUGCAUUAAUGAGCAAACAGUGGAUGGAAAAUAAUGCAAAUGGAAGAAAAACUCAUCGACUUUUACUAAUUUUGGCUAUCUAUUGAAAAGUAUGUUAAUUGCAUACAUUUCAAUUGACAUACCUUUAAUUGAAUGUAUAUUCAAACUAUUGAGAGAAGCUUGAGGAAGGAAUCCCUUAUACUGACCAAAUGUAUGUAAACUUUUGAGUUUCAGGAAAGUUAAAAAAAAAUUUUUUUUAAAUUCCUAAAAUAUGUUUUCACCACAUUUUCUGGCAUUUAGCUAAUAGAAAUAAAUUUAACAAUUCUAGCCAUACUAAAACAAAAAAGGUUUGGUCUAACCUAACUUCAAACAGUGAGAAAGAAAAUAUGUGUUUGUAUCUUUUUACACAGUGCAUGUAAAUAUCUGCUUUUAACUAGAUCUACAUCUUCCAGAAUCCCCCCAUAAUGUCCUAAAGUUGCUGUUGGUUCUUUUUUCUAGACAAACAUUCAAGUGCUGAUAGUGAACUAAAGUGAACUGAAACGAGGUUUAACUCGUUGAAAGCUGAAGCUUGGCCUCAGCCUGCAGGGUGUCGCAGUGACUGUUAAACCGGGACGAAAGAUUUUACAGCAAUUCUCUUCUUUCCAGAUUUAUUUUAAGAACCCUGACGCAGUUUUCUCUUUUCACCAUCAAGCAUGCCAGAGGAGUCUUGACUCGUCUAAAAUGCACUGUAACAAAUUGCUGUAAAAAAACGGCCAAAACUGAACAGUAUCAUACUGUUUCUAUUGAAAACGGUACUGCACCGUGAAAAACAAUGCAUUCUGGGCAAUUAUUACUGUUUUUAAUAAAAUACUGUAGUAUACUGUGAGUAGCAUUGCAUUUUGGGAAUGAUUUUAGAUUCAACGGUAAGGAGGCUGUCUUUAAACAGAACGCUACUGUAUUUCUGAAGAAGACAUGUUGUGACAUGUGGAAGCAACCUCUAGAACAGGGGUGUCAAACUCCAGUCCUCCAGGUGUCCUGCAGUUUUUCAAUGUGCCACAGGUACAAAACACUGGAAUGAAAUGGCUUCAUUACCUCCUCCUUGUGUAGAUAAGGUCUCCAGAGUCUUGCUAAUGACCUAUUAUUGUAUUCAGGUGGUGCAGCAGAGGCACAUCUAAACGUUGCAGGAUACCGGCCCUCAAGGUCUGGAGUUUGACACCCCUGCUCUAGAACUUUCUUUAGCAGGACUAUCCAUUUGAAUCCUGCAUUUUAUGAGCCAAUCCUAAGGCGCUUUCUUGAUAUCAACCCGGACCAAGGCCAGCUGUAGCAAGAUCAUCUCCAAGAGGACAGGGAAAACUUUUCAAAAGAAGUCGGUCACUGUCAUCCCCCGUGUUUCAACUCUGCUGAAAAACCUCAUGGACUUUGAAUGGAAUUUCAUAGUGAGAAUUUUCUAACCAAGCUAUAGAUAUUGUUGCCCCUCCACGCAAAAACAAGCAAACAAAAACUAUACAGGCAUGAAGGCAACUUAUCCCUGAACAGGAGUGUUCUUGAGAGAUUUUUUUGGUUUAAAGGUCAGCAUAAUCUUAAGACAUCUCUUUUAAUUAAGAGCAUAAAUUUUGUUAAGGCUCCCACUUUCUGUUCUUCAGAUGUAAUUUUGACUGUACAGGCACCAUGUUUAACUUAUCUUGGCAGUGUGUUGUCUAAUAAUGUUUCAUUGUUUUAUCAUUUGAAGUUGGAGCUCUGAUUUUGCCCUAAAGGAAAUUCAAGUCUAAAUGUUUCAUUUAAAUUAUCAAACUAAAAUUUGCAUUUUUUUUCUAUGCUUUAGAUUGAAAGUUAAAUGUUUCAUUUGUUUUAUGUUGCAUCAUAUUGUUCCUCACUUCCACAAAAAGUAGUAUUUUGUAUUGAAAAAGUAGUGUGCUGAGUUGUACAAUUCAUUAUUUCCAUACUUUAUUUCAUACUUAUUUUAUUUCAGACUAAUCAAAAGGCCACAAUUCAUGCUUUAUUCAAAUACUCUUUAAAUCAGUUAAGAAAUUUAUUUCACAAAAUAGAUGGUGAUUUUCUUACUGUUUUUCCAGAAUAUGACUUACUUUGGACAGUUUACCCUCAACAUUCUUGUAGAAAAGGUUUAGGUUUAAGGCACACAUACAUUGUCGUUUCAAAACCUUCGUCUUUAUUAUGUGGCCCACUAAAGACUGUAUGAGUCAACAUUUGAGUUGGUUCUUUUUUUUUUUCCAAAUAAAUG